CUCAGUGUUUAAAGAUUUCUCGGCGACUCUCAUCUCUGCGGCGAGUUUGUCUAGUAGGGAUUGAAGUGAACUCGCAUUCUCUUCUGGAGUUUUGCAGUUCAAAACCAAUUCUCAAAUUGCGGGAAUUUAAUUUCUAGGGUUUUAUUGCUUUAUCACUUCGAUCCCAUAGUUUUUGUUGAGUUAAUCUUAGUCGGAUGGAAGAAGUGAAACGCAAAUCCAGGAGAGAAGAUUCUGACAGGAAGGAGGAUUCCAAGAAGAGCGAUCGGGACCGGGAUCGUGACAGAGAGAAGGACAAAGAAAGGAAGGAAGACAAGUACAAAGAUAAGGAGAAGGUAAGGGAUCGUGAUUCCGAGAAGAAGGACCGAGAAAGUCGGCGCUCAGAGAGGGAGAGGAGCGUCGAUGACAGGCAUAGGGAGAAGUACAGGGACAAGUACAGGGAGAAGGAUAGAGGUCGGAAUCGAGAUGAGGAAAGGGAGAGGAUAAAAGAGAAGGUGAAAGAUAGAGAGAGGGAGAAAGAUCGAGAUGAUAGAGAGAGGGAGAGGGGAAGGGACAAAGAUAGGGAAAGCAGAGAGCGGGAGAGGGAACGGGAGAGAGAAAGGGAAGACAGAGACAGGGAGCGGGAGAGGGAAAGAGAAAGGGAGGACAGAGAGAAGGAGCGUGAGAAAGAGAAAGAGAGAGACCGAGAGAGGGAGCGGACAAGGGAGAGGGAAAGAGAAAGGGAAAGGGAGGAAAGAGAGCGGGAGAAGGAGGAGAGGGAAAGGGAGAGGACUAGGGAGAGGGAAAAGCGUAGGGAACUGGAUAGAGAUGAGGACAGAGAUGGUGAUGAUAGCAGGGACCAUGAAAGAAAGCGGUCUAGGAGGGAUGAUGAUUAUAGGGAGAGAGAACGGGAAAGGAGCAGCAGAUCAGACAGGCAUAGGGAUGACAGUGACGAUAGCCGAAGGAAAAGGAGUGAGGAUGAUUCUGAGAACAAAGAGAAGAGAAGUCGGGAAGAAGAUUUAGAGGAAGAACAGAGGAAACUUGAUGAGGAAAUGGACAAGAGGAGGAGGAGGGUUCAGGAAUGGCAGGAAUUGAAAAGGAAGAAGGAAGAAUCUGAGAGAGAAAAGCUGGGAGAAACAAACGUUGAAGAACCAAAAUCUGGUAAGAACUGGACCCUAGAAGGUGAGUCUGAUGACGAAGAUGCUGUUCCUACCGUCAAAUCAGAGAAGGAUACAGACAUGGACGAAGAUGGUAAGCCUGCUGGUGAAGGUGGAGAUGCUAUGAUGGUUGAUUCUGAAAAUGGAACUGCUGUAGCUGGUACUCAAAAUGGAAGUGAAGGAGCCAAUGGGGAGGAGGAAAUAGACCCAUUGGAUGCUUUCAUGAAUUCAAUGGUAAUACCUGAGGUCAAGAAGCUGAAUGGCUCUGAAAGUUCCUCUAAAGCGGAUGAUGAAAAGUCUGAUCCCAAGAAGGAUCAGAAAGAUGGGCAAAGUAAUGGGGUUCAAUCCAAGAAGGGUACAAAUAAAGCUAUGGGCCGAAUUAUCCCUGGUGAGGACUCUGAUUCUGAUUAUAGUGAUAUUGAGAAUGACGAAGCUCCAGUUGAAGAUGAAGAUGACGAUGAGUUCAUGAAAAGGGUGAAGAAGACUAAGGUUGAAAAAUUAUCUAUAGUCGACCACUCUAAGAUCCAAUAUCCCCCCUUCAGGAAAAAUUUCUAUAUUGAAGUGAAGGAGAUCUCAAAGAUGACAGCUGAGGAGGUUGCUGAUUACAGGAAACAACUGGAGUUGAAGAUUCAUGGGAAAGAUGUGCCAAAGCCUGUUAGGACAUGGAAUCAAACUGGAUUGACAAGUAAAAUACUAGAUACUAUUAAAAAACUGAACUAUGAUAAGCCGAUGCCCAUCCAAGCUCAGGCACUGCCAACAAUUAUGAGUGGUCGGGACUGCAUAGGUAUCGCAAAAACUGGUUCUGGCAAGACGCUGGGUUUUGUUUUGCCAAUGUUGAGGCAUAUCAAGGAUCAGCCACCUGUUGUUCCUGGAGACGGGCCUAUUGGGCUUAUAAUGGCUCCUACCAGAGAGCUUGUCCAGCAGAUCCACAGUGAUAUCAGGAAAUUUACUAAGAUGCUUGGUGUUAAUUGUGUCCCUGUAUAUGGUGGCUCUGGGGUUGCUCAGCAGAUAAGUGAGUUAAAGCGGGGUGCUGAGAUUGUUGUUUGUACUCCAGGUAGGAUGAUAGAUAUACUUUGUACCAGUAGUGGAAAGAUUACUAACCUUCGAAGGGUUACGUAUCUAGUUUUAGAUGAAGCAGAUAGAAUGUUUGACAUGGGUUUUGAACCUCAGAUCACUCGGAUUGUACAAAAUACCCGACCAGACCGACAGACUGUACUUUUUUCUGCUACUUUUCCUCGUCAGGUUGAGAUACUGGCCCGCAGAGUAUUAAAUAAGCCUGUUGAAAUUCAGGUUGGGGGAAGAAGUGUAGUGAACAAGGACAUAACACAGUUAGUUGAGAUGAGACAAGAGGGUGAGAGGUUCCUGAGACUGUUAGAACUACUGGGAGAAUGGUAUGAGAAAGGAAAGAUAUUGAUAUUUGUCCAGUCACAAGAAAAAUGUGAUUCUUUAUUUAGGGACUUGCUAAAGCAUGGUUACCCUUGCCUUUCGCUUCAUGGGGCUAAGGAUCAGACUGAUCGUGAGUCAACCAUUUCUGACUUCAAGAGCAAUGUUUGCAAUCUUUUGAUUGCAACUAGUAUUGCUGCUAGGGGUUUGGAUGUGAAGGAGCUUGAGCUGGUAAUCAAUUUUGAUGUCCCAAACCACUACGAAGACUAUGUUCAUCGUGUUGGUCGGACGGGGCGAGCUGGCCGGAAAGGCUGUGCUAUUACCUUUAUCUCUGAAGAGGAUGCAAGAUAUUCUCCAGAUCUUGUAAAAGCUUUGGAACUCUCGGAGCAGGCUGUUCCUGCUGAUCUGAAGGCUAUUGCUGAUGGAUUCAUGGCAAAAGUGAAUCAGGGACUUGAGCAAGCUCAUGGGACUGGUUAUGGGGGGAGUGGUUUCAAGUUCAAUGAAGAGGAAGAUGAAGUAAGGAAAGCAGCUAAGAAAGCACAGGCAAGAGAAUAUGGUUUCGAGGAAGACAAGUCAGAUUCAGACUCUGACGAUGAUGGGAUUCGGAAGGCCGGAGGUGAUAUCUCUCAGCAAGCACAAGCUGCACUUGCUGCCAUAAGUGCAGCUUCCAGGGUAAGUGUAGCUUCAAUGGCAACCCCGGUCUCAGCAGCCCCAUUGUUGCCAAAUGGAGGACUACAACCUGUGACUCUCCCUAGUGUCCUUGGUUUGGGUAUACCAGGCACUGCAGCAGUAGUACCUGGGGUGGCUCUGCCCAUUGGGCCAGGUGAUGGAGCAGCUCGAGCAGCGGCAAUAGCAGCUGCGAUGAAUCUGCAGCAUAAUCUUGCGAAAAUCCAGGCUGAUGCACUGCCUGAACACUAUGAAGCAGAGUUAGAGAUCAAUGAUUUCCCUCAGAAUGCUCGUUGGAAGGUGACCCACAAGGAAACUUUAGUUCCAAUCUCAGAAUGGACUGGAGCUGCUAUAACUACCAGGGGGCAAUAUUAUCCACCAGGUAAGGUUCCAGGACCUGGGGAGCGGAAGCUUUAUUUGUUCAUUGAAGGUCCUACUGAACAGUCUGUAAAGAGGGCAAAAGUAGAAGUGAAGCGUGUUCUGGAGGACAUUACGAAUCAGUCAUUGUCACUUCCUGGUACUGCCCAGCCGGGCAGGUACUCUGUCCUGUGAGAACCUGGUUUUGGCGCGACUAAGAGAUCUGGGCCUCUGCUUGUGUUUGCCAAGUACGUCUCAGUGCUUUGGUCACUCUUGGAAGCUUUUGAUGGGAUGGCGUUCACGGUCUGAUCCCAGAGGCCCAUUACUUACUUCAAUAGUACAUAUACCAGUGCUACGAGGCAUUCCCUUCAUCCUUAUUUUGAUUUACCCCUCUAUUAGACAUCAACUUAUGCCUUACUGCCUGUGUUGUACUUUCUAAUGUGAAGAUUCGUAAUGCACAACACCCUAGAGCUCUGUGCUGUGAUAGGCAACACAUGCUUUGCUGCUUCAGCACUGUUGAUAGGAAGGGAAGAUCACUUCUCUGUGAUUGGUGUGGCCACUGCAUAUAUGCUGUACAGGUGAUCUGGACUCAUUACCCUCAGUCUCAUAUACUUUGAUUGCACGCUUGAAUUGCUGGUUUCCUGACAUAAUAGGCUGUACCAGUGGAUCCAAACUGUGCUUU